rnacentral:tRNA from 1 species
GCGCGGUCGAGCGCCAGGACCGGGCCGCACCCGGCCUUCCGGCGGCCGGGUAGGGGAAUGUCCUGACUGUUGGACCCGGCCCGCCCCGCU